GCCGAUGCUUUAGAUAGAUUCGGAAGGCGUGCUUCCGGGGCGGCGAUAGCGCGAUUGCAAGGCGUUGUUGCCGUUUACAUA
rnacentral:ncRNA from 2 species